ensembl:lncRNA DNAH17-AS1 DNAH17 antisense RNA 1
CCCAUACUUGUCCACCUCGGGCAUGUUCAUGUCGUCGAUGAAGUAGACGAGCUUCUUAGUGCCUGGCGGCCCGUAGUUCCUCCCCGAUUUCUUCUCCAGCGGCUUCUCCAGCACCCCUAGAGAGGGCAGAGGGUCAGCUGCCCGCCUGCGCCUCCUGAGCCAGAGCCUGUUAGGUAGGGAGGGGCGCUACCUGCUUCCCCGGAGGACAGAAGGUGGGACCUGGCUGGGAUCCAAGUUUACCAAAGGCGUGUGGAGGGUACUGCACCGAUUCCUGCCUCUAAAUCACCAGUCGGUGGCCCUGCUUUGGGGACAGUUACCUGCAGUGGGACAUCGGGAUCCAGCUCAAAGGAGGGCACUUUAUCUGUCCAGGGCAGGAACUUUUUUGUGUCAGGAUCAAUGUAGUAGUCAAAAAUCGUUCCCUGCGAGGGGAACUUGAUAGUCUUGAAUUCGUUGAUCCACCAUUUACUGAACUCCACUCGAUAAUCCACAAGCUGUUGAGACACAGAAGUAAAAAUCAGGGCCCAGCUAAGCAGGAUGCUGAGAGACCCUGUGUGGGUGGCCGGGCCCCCCAGGUGCAUCACCUGGUCCUGGAACAUGGCGCCACCGAAGGCCCAGAAGCAGGUGAACACGAAGUACAGCUCGUACAGCUCCCUGGGGGAGUCGGGGGGCACGGUCUUCUCCGUGAGCAGGCACUCCAGCAGGUACAGAAUCGUUUGGAUCACCGUGAUCUCCGGCACUGGCGUGAUCUUCUUGAACCCAAAGCGCAACUUGUCCAGGCACGUGGGCAGGUACUUGUCAAAGAGGAUCAUCAGGUUGGCCUUCUCCGACUGCACCUUGCGCCUCUCGAUCCAGCUGCUCACCACCCUGGGGGUGACAGGAGGCGCCGAUGACACAGCCGCUGCUCUGGGUCUGCCAGUGUCCCUGCCUUGGUCACUCCUUGGAGGUGUCCAGUUCCUGCCUUGGCCCACGCUGCCUUCGUUUCUGGCUCCCUCUUCUCUGCUCCCAUAGGGUGUCCCCCUGAGGACUCCACGAUCCUGUCUUUUUCCUGUCCCCGUGUCUCAGCAGCUCCUACCCAGGCUUCAUUUCAGUUCCCCGGACAUUGUCUUUGCCUACCCUGAAAACUCCCACACAUGGUACAGUGGGUAGGAUGGUGGUGCUACAAAAGAAUGUCCACCCAGAACCCAGAAUGUGCCCUGAUUUGGAGAAAGGGCAUUAGCAGAUGUCAUCAAGGAUCUUGAGACAAGAUCAUCCUGGAUUUAGGGUGGACCCUGAAUCCAAUGACUGUGUCCUUAUAAGCAAAUGGGAAAUUUGGACACAGACAUACAGAGAAGGCCACGUGGAGACAGAGGCGGAGAUGGGAGGGGUGUGUCCAUAAGCCAAGGGAUGCCAAGGACCGCCGAGAGCCCCCAGGAGCUGGGAGAGAGGCCUGGGACAGGUUCUCCCGCAGAGCCUCAGAGGGAACCAGCACUGCCUACUCCUUGACUUCUGGCCUCCAGCACUGGGAGAGGAUAAAUGUCUGUUGUUUGAAGCUGCCCCAUUAGUGGUCAUUGUUUCAGCAGCUGGAGAAUGCUGUAUAAGCAGGCAAGUGUUGCUGGAGAAGCCGGCACAGAGGCACCCAGGCUCAGCAGCUCCUGGCCCUGUCCCCAUAGGGAACAUUCCACUUGGUAUCCCUCUCAAACCCUGGCCACACUGUGCUGCCUGCCUCCCAGCAGAGGGUCUCACUUCCCACGCAGAGAGCAAAGAAGUGCACCAGCAUGAACUCCGGAAACUUAAUUUUCUCUGCCUAUAGACUUGCAUGCACCUGAAAACAGCCAUGCCUGCAUCCCAUGGCCAAACAUCAUUCUUGUCUCGACAAAUACUACAAAGCUUCAUUCCUCUUGUUCCAGCCCUACCCUCCAGCACUCCAAGGCAGGACUCGCCUCACUUCUGGCGCCUCCUGCUGCCUCCUCCAUACCUCAUUGCCAUCUGGCUCUGCCCUCAACACGCCCUGAAGCUGUUCUCCCUGAGUGAUGGAGAUGCGCCUAGCUCCCAAAUGCAAUGGGAACUCUUCUGUCCUUGGCUUGACUCUGGGUGCCAUCCUACUGAGGAAAUCCCUUACUCUGUCAAUCACCAGCCACGUGUCCAAGCCCGAAAAUAUGCCUCUGGAAUCAAUAUCAAGUCUUCCAUUUCUCCAGAUUUCAGAUAUUUCUUAAACCCAUCCCUUCCUCUCUGAUCCCUAGAGGCCCCCAUCUUGCUGGCAUGACCAGCUGCUUUUCCCUCGUCACAUUGGAAAGGGACACUUGCACCUUGGCCCAGCAUCAGCGCCUUCCCGUCAGGAGCAGCCUCCGCCUUUAUGCUCUGGCCAGGAGAACCCGACCACUGCCCAUCCGGCAAUGCCCCACUCCCCACCAUGCCCUGUGAACGCGGGUUCUUGUCUGGUGUGCUUCUCUGUUUUCACCCCUUAGAGGCAGCCUGACCCUUUGGAUGGCAGCCCAAACUUCAAUCACCUGGGAAGACUUCCCACCUCCACAGAGGCCAAGACCUCCCUUCCCACACCAGCCCUUGUUCCCUGGCACUUUGUGCAAACAUCCGUUUGCUCAGCUGCCCUGCCUCGUGUCACUGUGAAUUUACACCAUUUAUUCCCAGGUCUCUCACCCCUUCACUGCUGUGACACUGGUGCCUGGUGAGGGCCUGAUACACAGUUUGUGACAUGAAUGAUGAAUGAAUAUGC